UAAUCUCAGCUGGCAACUGUGAGACGUUCAUACAAUUCCUCACAGUGGUCUCUGGGAUUAUG
rnacentral:pre_miRNA from 1 species